rnacentral:rRNA from 1 species
AGAGUUUGAUCCUGGCUCAAAUUGAACACCGGCGGCAUGCUUUACACAUGCAAGUCGAACGGUAACAGGUCUUCGGAUGCUGACGAUUGGCGAACGGGUGAGUAAUACAUCGGAACGUGCCUAGUAGUGGGGGAUAACUACUCGAAAGAGUAGCUAAUACCGCAUGAGAUCUACGGAUGAAAGCAGGGGACCUUCGGGCCUUGUGCUACUAGAGCGGCUGAUGGCAGAUUAGGUAGUUGGUGGGGUAAAGGCUUACCAAGCCUGCGAUCUGUAGCUGGUCUGAGAGGACGACCAGCCACACUGGGACUGAGACACGGCCCAGACUCCUACGGGAGGCAGCAGUGGGGAAUUUUGGACAAUGGGCGAAAGCCUGAUCCAGCAAUGCCGCGUGCAGGAUGAAGGCCCUCGGGUUGUAAACUGCUUUUGUACGGAACGAAAAGCCUGGGGCUAAUAUCCCCGGGUCAUGACGGUACCGUAAGAAUAAGCACCGGCUAACUACGUGCCAGCAGCCGCGGUAAUACGUAGGGUGCAAGCGUUAAUCGGAAUUACUGGGCGUAAAGCGUGCGCAGGCGGUUUUGUAAGACAGUGGUGAAAUCCCCGGGCUCAACCUGGGAACUGCCAUUGUGACUGCAAGGCUAGAGUGCGGCAGAGGGGGAUGGAAUUCCGCGUGUAGCAGUGAAAUGCGCAGAUAUGCGGAGGAACACCGAUGGCGAAGGCAAUCCCCUGGGCCUGCACUGACGCUCAUGCACGAAAGCGUGGGGAGCAAACAGGAUUAGAUACCCUGGUAGUCCACGCCCUAAACGAUGUCAACUGGUUGUUGGGUCUUAACUGACUCAGUAACGAAGCUAACGCGUGAAGUUGACCGCCUGGGGAGUACGGCCGCAAGGUUGAACUCAA